rnacentral:rRNA from 1 species
UACGGGGGGAGCAAGCGUUGUUCGGAUUUACUGGGCGUAAAGGGCGCGUAGGCGGCCACUGCAAGUCGGUUGUGAAAUCUCCGGGCUUAACCCGGAAAGGUCAAUCGAUACUGCAGGGCUAGAGUGCGGAAGGGGCAACUGGAAUUCUCGGUGUAGCGGUGAAAUGCGUAGAUAUCGAGAGGAACACCUGCGGCGAAGGCGGGUUGCUGGGCCGACACUGACGCUGACAGCGCGAAAGCUAGGGGAGCGAAUGGG